rnacentral:ncRNA from 1 species
AACAGGGGAGCUCGUAGCGGCGGGCUGAGAGGAAGUCAUCAACUUCGACCCUUUUAACCUGAUACGGAUAAUGCCGUCGUAGGAAGUGAC